GACGAACCGUGCGAACGUUGUUCGGAAUCAUUGGGCUUAAAGGGCGCGUAGGCGGCCUGCUAAGUCGAACGUGAAAUCCCUGGGCUCAACCCAGGAACUGCGUCCGAUACUGGCUGGCUUGAAUUCGGGAGAGGGAUGCGGAAUUCCAGGUGUAGCGGUGAAAUGCGUAGAUAUCAGGAAGAACACCCGUGGCGAAGGCGGCUCUCUGGGACGGUACUGACGCUGAGACGCGAAAGCGUGGGGAGCGAACAGG
rnacentral:rRNA from 1 species